GCUAAACGCGAAGAACCUUACCUAAACUUGACAUCCCUCGGACCGCUCCUUAAUCGGAGCCUUCCCUUCGGGGACUGAGGUGACAGGUGGUGCAUGGUUGUCGUCAGCUCGUGUCGUGAGAUGUUGGGUUAAGUCCCGCAACGAGCGCAACCCUUGCCUUUAGUUGCCAUCAUUAAGUUGGGCACUCUAGAGGGACUGCCGAGGAUAACUCGGAGGAAGGUGGGGAUGACGUCAAAUCAUCAUGCCCCUUAUGUUUAGGGCUACACACGUGCUACAAUGGCUGGUACAGAGGGCUGCAAACCGUGAGGUUAAGCCAAUCCCUUAAAGCCAGUCUCAGUUCGGAUUGUAGGCUGAAACUCGCCUACAUGAAGCUGGAGUUGCUAGUAAUCGCGGAUCAGAAUGCCGCGGUGAAUGCGUUCCCGGGUCUUGUACACACCG
rnacentral:rRNA from 1 species